rnacentral:rRNA from 1 species
CAUAUGCUUGUCUUAAAGAUUAAGCCAUGCAUGUCUAAGUAUAAGCUUUUAUAUGGUGAAACUGCGAAUGGCUCAUUAUAACAGUUAUAGUUUAUUUGAUGUUCGUUUUUACAUGGAUAACCGUGCUAAUUGUAGGGCUAAUACAUGUUCGAGACCUUCGGGUGGCGUUUAUUAGACCUAAGACCAAUCCGGGUUCUUCCCGGCUUCCGGUGAUUCAUAAUAAACUUGCGAAUCGCAUUUUUUUGCGAUGUAUCAUUCAAGUUUCUGACCUAUCAGCUUUGGACGGUAGGGUAUUGGCCUACCGGGGCAGCGACGGGUAACGGGGAAUUAGGGUUCGAUUCCGGAGAGGGAGCCUGAGAAACGGCUACCACAUCUAAGGAAGGCAGCAGGCGCGCAAAUUACUCAAUCCUGACACAGGGAGGUAGUGACAAGAAAUAACAAUACGGGGCUUAAUGUCUUGUAAUUGGAAUGAUGGGAAUUUAAACCUCUUCCAGAGUAUCAAUUGGAGGGCAAGUCUGGUGCCAGCAGCCGCGGUAAUUCCAGCUCCAAUAGCGUAUAUUAAAAUUGUUGCAGUUAAAAAGCUCGUAGUUGAAUUUCUGCUGCAUUACAUAUCUCUUGUUUGAGUUUGUUUUUGUGGCUUAUUUCGGUUUGAUUUUUUUAUCUUUCCGGAUGAUUACUUUGAGAAAAUUAGAGUGCUCAAAGCAGGCUUUUGCCUUGAAUAGUUUAGCAUGGAAUAAUAAAGUAGGACUUUGGUUCUAUUUUGUUGGUUUUAGGUACCAAAGUAAUGGUUAAUAGGAACGGUUGGGGGCAUUCGUAUUUAACUGUCAGAGGUGAAAUUCUUAGAUUUGUUAAAGACGAACUACUGCGAAAGCAUUUGCCAAGGAUGUUUUCAUUAAUCAAGAACGAAAGUUAGGGGAUCGAAGACGAUCAGAUACCGUCGUACUCCUAACCAUAAACUAUGCCGACUAGAGAUUGGAGGUCGUCAGUUUUUACGACUCCUUCAGCACCUUGAGAGAAAUCAAAGUCUUUGGGUUC